UUAACUCAAAUUUUUAUGGAAUUGGAACGUUUGCUUAUGUUUGCUGGUAGGGGGCGCUGUUCCAACUGCAUACAAAUUUGAGUUA
rfam:Bombyx mori DNA, contig: Bm_scaf5_contig4480, strain: p50T/Dazao, build 2, whole genome shotgun sequence.